rnacentral:rRNA from 1 species
AUUGAGUAUAGGGGCGAAAGACCAAUCGAACCAUCUAGUAGCUGGUUCCCUCCGAAGUUUCCCUCAGGAUAGCUGGUGCAUUAUAAUAUUAUGUUAAAUAAUCUUAUCUGGUAAAGCGAAUGAUUAGAGGCCUUAGGGUCGAAACGACCUUAACCUAUUCUCAAACUUUAAAUGGGUAAGAACCUCACCUUUCUUGAUAUGAAGGUUGAGGUUAUGAUAUAAUGUGCCCAGUGGGCCACUUUUGGUAAGCAGAACUGGCGCUGUGGGAUGAACCAAACGUAAUGUUACGGUGCCUAAAUUAACAACUCAUGCAGAUACCAUGAAAGGCGUUGGUUGCUUAAAACAGCAGGACGGUGGACAUGGAAGUCGUAAUCCGCUAAGGAGUGUGUAACAACUCACCUGCCGAAGCAACUAGCCCUUAAAAUGGAUGGCGCUUAAGUUGUAUACCUAUACAUUACCGCUAAAGUAGAUGAUUUAUAAUACAAUUUCGAUUGAAUUAUAAAUUUUGAAACUUUAGUGAGUAGGAGGGUACAAUGGUGUGCUUAGAAGUGUUUGGCGUAAGCCUGCAUGGAGCCGCUAUUGGUACAGAUCUUGGUGGUAGUAGCAAAUAAUCGAAUGAGACCUUGGAGGACUGAAGUGGAGAAGGGUUUCGUGUGAACAGUGGUUGAUCACGAGUUAGUCGGUCCUAANUUCAAGGCGAAAGCCGAAAAUUUUCAAGUUUUAAUGC